GUCCAGACUCCUACGGGAGGCAGCAGUGGGGGAUAUUGCACAAUGGGGGAAACCCUGAUGCAGCGACGCCGCGUGGGUGAAGAAGUAUUUCGGUAUGUAAAGCCCUAUCAGCAGGGAAGAAAGAAGACGGUACCUGACUAAGAAGCCCCGGCUAACUACGUGCCAGCAGCCGCGGUAAUACGUAGGGGGCGAGCGUUAUCCGGAGUCACUGGGUGUAAAGGGAGCGUAGACGGCCGUGCAAGCCAGGAGUGAAAGCCCGGGGCCCAACCCCGGGACUGCUCUUGGAACUGUGCGGCUGGAGUGCGGGAGGGGCAGGCGGAAUUCCUGGUGUAGCGGUGAAAUGCGUAGAUAUCAGGAGGAACACCGGCGGCGAAGGCGGACUGCUGGACCGCGACUGACGUUGAGGCUCGAAAGUGUGGGGAGCAAACAGGAUUAGAUACCCCCG
rnacentral:rRNA from 1 species